UCAACAUUUCGAUUCACACUCCAUACCAGAUGGUGGCGCUAAUGCGCCAAAUCGUUGUUUGCCAACCGCCAUGAAACUUUAGAAAAGAAGAAGAAGAAGCUUAAAGCGGCGAUUGAACACACCUGCUCGACUUCACGCAGGUGUUUUUCAAUCAGCUGAUGGCCGCUGAUUGCUUCCUCCUCCUCUUCUUAUUUAAUCUUCAUCCAGCCAACAGCUCCGUGAUGUUACUUUGAAGAGAAGCUGCACGAGCCGUGGAACGAAAAAAAAACGCGAAAAAACACUGAAACUGUUCCGGGAGGAGGGAACUUGUGACGGUAAUGCACCAAUGCUGCCCUAAAACCUCAAAAAACAACGAGGGAACUUUAAAAAAAGAAGAGGAAAAAAAGAAAACUACCGCUGCGUGACGUCAGACGCCGAAAAGAUGGUCGCGUGCAUCAGCUCCUGUAUAAAAACGCAGCAUGGCGCUCCAGGGUGGCGUGUUCGACCUGGUCCAGAUUGGUGGCCCGUCCAGAAUGGAACAACCUGCUUCCUGCUCACGGAGACCAGGUCGGACCCGCCAUAUACAAAAGCCUGAGGCUGUCAAAAAAAGAUUGAUCUUCAUGAAGAUUGUCAAAUAGUAGGUGUCAUGCUUUAAUUCUGGGUGGCCGCUGUGUCCCCACUCUUUCUUGGCCGCUGUGCCUAUAUCUCUCUGCAUUGUCCAUCAUGGCCACGUUCUUUUUAUUCUCCUGCUUUCCAUCUGUCAAAUAGCUGAGGGUUGUACGUGGAGCAUUUGCCACAGGUUGGUUUUAUAUGUUCCUGUCCACUUUAUUGGGUGGUCUGAAUUUGUAAGAUGUAAAUCUGGUCCUCGUUAAUUAUAUUUUUGUGGAACUGCUGAGCGAGUGAUUUGAAAGAAUGAGGUGACUGAUGGAGUGUUUGAAAUUCUCUCUCUGAAAGAAUGGGUUGUGUGUGACAGAGAUGCCUGGAUUGAAUAGUUAAGAUGGUCUGAUAAUAUGAUUAUGUUCAGCAGUUCACAUUAAAGUAGAUAUGGUGUCUUGAAGGGCUUAGAUGCUUGAUAAGUUAUAAUGCACUAACAUUUCCUUUUUAGGUCCGUCUACAAAGGGUGAGUCCAUAUUUUUUUUAUGUCUUCUCUGGGGGCUACUGUCUUGGCCUCCUUGUGUGGUAGGGUUUGCAGAGUAGGGGAAUAAACAAAAGAAAACUUGUGUGUUGUGUAUUUUUGAAAGUGAAGGUACUUAGGUGUCGGCAACUGACUUGCUAGUCUAGCUGCCCACAGCUAACUAACUUACAUGCAAAGGUAAAAACACGCCUCUCAAUGGAGGCGUUUUCUUGCCUUGUCUCUGUGCCCUUAACCACUUUUUCUUUCCAACUGAUACGCAGGCCGCGGGCCAUCGCUCCUCCGGCCGCCGUGUCGAUCUGUCCUGGCUCUCUUGCCUUUCCUAACUUCUAAAAGGGAAAAAAAUCUCAAUUUGAACUGUUUUCUUUAGCACUAAAAUAGUGAUGUUGGAGGACCAGAUCUUAAAUGAGGUUUAAAUGGAUGUUGGUGUACCUUUUUAAAUCUAGAUGGUAGGAAUAAAAUUAAUGUUGUGCCUUGUACGCUCUGUCACAAGGCUUAGACUUCUUGGCCGCUGUGCCUUUUUUUUUCUUUUCUCUCUCUCUCUUUUCCAUCGUGGCCAUUAAUCUACUGUUAGCCCUAGAACGUUAAAGUAGAUCCUGGUGAUCUACAAACACAGUACCUGGCUUUGGAUGGCAGCCAUGCCAUUGCCUUUAUAUUGCCAUACGUCCCUUAAUGCAAGUAGGCCCUGAUCGCUAACUGUGCCCGCGCCUUCAUGACCUACUUGUGUCAUUGUACGUCUGGCCUUGCGCGUAUAGUCAUUUUACAUAGACAAACAUGGGUGCCUUCCGUGUCCAUGCACAGUAAGUGAACUAACCUGUACUUUUCUUCUAGCAUCAGUCAAGAGGAGCACCGACAUCCCUGCAUGUCCAUCUUAAUUAGAUUGCGUUUUAGUGUAAAAUUUCAAAUGUUAAGUGCAAUUUUUGUCUGUCUGUCUGUCUGUGUGUGUGUGUGUGUUAGAGGACAAGCAAAUCCAAAUGCUUUCAAAAACAGGAAAAUGUUUACCUUUCAGGUAAGUUUUGAAGGCCUUUGCCACAUGAUCUUUGUGGGUAAAUCGUGUCCACUAAAUAAAUAUAAAGUUAAUUUGCGUCUAAACAUUUACAAUGCCUGACACAAUGGCAUUACAGUAAUCUAAUUUUUUUUUUUUACUACUAAUUUUUGUUACUGAGUGCAAAGGCCUUUAUUUACACAGUGACACAUGCCAAGACUGCCGUCAUGGCAUGUGUCACUGUCUCUCUCUCUCACUGGUCUGUCUCUCUCACGCUGGUCUGUCUGUCGGGUCUCUGUCUUGUGUGUCUGGUUUCCGCCUGUCUGGUCUGUGUCUUAUCCCGCCUGUCUGUCCUUUGUCUUUCUGUGUUUCUCUGUCUCUCUUGCUGUCUGUCUGUCCGUCUUGUAUCCGUCUUUCUGUUCCGUGUCGGAUUUAGUCACUUUUUUAGUCUCAACUUAAAUGAUUUUAAAGUUGAUUAGUCUUGAGGCGUCUGAUUUCUGCAGGACAUUCUGGUGCCUUAUUUUGAAAUGGCUUUAAUUUAAAAAUUGAAUUUUGGUCUUGAAUCUCAGUUAUCAUAGUUGCAACUUGGACUGUUGACAAACGUGGAAGCUGAUGAAUCAUGUAGUAAAUGCAUCAAAGUUUACUGUAGCUUGUCUAAAGUUCUUUCAAAGUGCUGUAAAAAUGUAGUAAUUGAUUAUGAUGAGCUAGACCAGGUCUUCCUUUAUUCUCAACUGGUAAUGGCUUUGAUAAGAUAACUGGUUCCUGAUUUUUUGAUUAUGAAGCUAAACUUUUGAUUUAUAUGCAAGUCUAGUCAUAUUAGAUUGUAGGUGUUAUUCAGCCCAUGGAUAAUGUUAUGAUAUACUUUAAAUCUGGCAUUUGUUGGCACACUUUUGAUAUCUAUUUAAGUCUUAAACUUUACACACUGCCAUCAGCCUUUGUAGCCGCUAACUGAAAUCUAAUUCAAUAUAAUCCUUCCAGUUUCAAGAGGGUUCUUGCAACCUUGUUGCUUGAACCCUAAUUAAUGCUGACUUGUCUCACUCUGCCAAGUUUAUUUCCCUCUAAAGGAGUUGAACCUUUUUGUGUUCAUAGUCUUUUUGCGCGUCAUGUUGGGAGGCCUCCCAGCAGGGGAUUUUUAUCUUCCCCUGCAAAACUAUGCGUUACUCGCCUUAGGGAUACAGGGCUAUCCUGCAUAGUUUCUUUCAAAAAUUAGAUUGUAGGUUGCAGGAUUAGAGCGCGUUUCUUUUCUUUAGAAGGACACAAACCUGGCAGAGAGACAACUCGGAUUAUUUAAGUGAAAGUUGCGCCAAAUGUUCUAACUUUUUAUCUUUUGAUACGACGACUUGAAAUAAAACUUUUAUUCUGUGGGCUGAAUUCAGACAGAAUUCAGACAGAAUUUGGCUUCAUGUUAAAGACUGUUGUGCAAGUACCCUCUUGUAGUAGGAGUGAGCAGCUGCAGCUUUUUAAUGUAUUUUUCGUUAUUUGAUUUGUUUCUUGGAUUGACUUGGUGUCUGGAGCUUUGUGGUUAACAGUGAUCAUGUAAACGUGUAAACACAAGUGGUCUUUUGUCUCUUAUUUGCGAAGCUGGCAGCUGGUUGAAAUGAUAGGAUAAAGUGGGAUUUUUAGAGCAUAGGGUUAACACCUCACAAUACACUAGCUAUUUCAGCGAACAAGUGUCUGUAGUCCGUUAUUACCCAUGACAUUCUUUCAAAUUUCACAAUUUAGGCAGCUUGUAGAGUCAUUAGGAAGAUGCUUAAUCCCAAUGUCUUGGUUGGUUGCAUGAGAAACUGCUAUCUCUUAGAUGUGUUGGCGAAGUUCCUCCUGAUUUUUGUAGACUUGCCCUAAAGUUUCUCUCCGCUUUAACUCUUGUUGAGCUAUGCAUUAAAUGAUUCCUCCAACUUGUCCCCAUAUCAAUUUUUCUCUCCCUGCAGCCUUCCACCACCCACUGCUGCUGUUGCAUCUGCUAAAGGUAGCCGUAUCCUGAUUCACUGCGUCUUCAUGUGUUAGGUAAGAAGUGUCAUUAGACUACUAACAAUGUAAACACCUUUUAAAUGCUUGAUCUAAUUUACCCAAAUGGUUCAUCAGUUUAGGACAAAAAAAUCAUUGAGUUUGACAUUCUUGGGGUCAGUAAUCUGACCUCUAAAUGUUUGGGAAACCAUGCAAAAGAUCGUAAGUUCUCUGCAUGACCCAACAGCAUCGAUGUUUGAGUUAUUUAAUUGCUCAAUUUUUAAAUCAGUCAAGAUUUUAUGAGCUGGGUCUUCUUCACACAACAGAGAACAAGGUAAAUUGAGUCGACUCGUAACAUGGUAAGGCAUUUCGUCUUUCCCCUUCUUCUCUGUGUGUGAGGAAAUCUGGCCACGGAUCCUGACUGGAGAGGCAUACCAUGGCUGUGCAGUUUCCAAAAUCAGACAAGGAUCCAUCUGAUUUUGUGACUCGGCCUGUCAUGAUAUGCAUGUAUCUUCCUCCGAAACAAAGGAUUGGAAUGGUCAGGUUUGUAGUGUAAAUCACAUCACAUCACUUGUAGAUGGUGAAGCAUUUGUUUAAAUUGGGGUCAAGCAUUUUCAGGUGUCUGCUUUGUCAAUACUCUGGUGCCACGUCUUGUUGAACACACGAGAAGCUCUGAAUUGUGAAACUGCUGCUUCUUGCAGAUGUUACAACAGCAAUGGCCGUUGAAAAGCUGCAGGGAGAGAAAAUGAGAUCUGAGGACAGGAAAGUGGAAUUGAUUUCAUGCUUAGCAAAAUGAGGGUUUCAGCAGAGGACCUUUUUGUGGCGAGGCUACAGAAUCAGAAGGAACGUUUGUCUGGGCAACUGGGAGAUUUACUGUGUUUCAUGCAGCCAACCAAGACAUUGGGGUUAGCAUCAUCCCAAAUGGCUGGCAAAGAUUGUUUGUAACUGACAGUGUAGGACAGGAAAGGCAGGUAAAGGUUAGGGAGGGCAUCCAUCGGUGAGCUCCUCACCGAUGGGGGUGAGGACCUGUCACACUUGCCCAGAGAUGAAGGCUGCAGCACAUUCCUGGAUCAAAGGACUCCAUGUUGGACACCACAACCUGGAGAAGUCCCGUCCUGGAUGGCUGCGGUGAUGACCUAGCCCAAGAUGAACCAACCCUUCUACGACAAGGACUUCGCCCAAGAUGAACCAACCCUUCUACGACAAGGACUUCGCCCAAGAUGAAUCGACCCUUCUACGACGAGGACUUCGCCCAAGAUGAAUCGACCCUUCUACGACGAGGACUUCGCCCAAGAUGAAUCGACCCUUCUACGACGAGGACUUCGCCCAAGAUGAAUCGACCCUUCUACGACGAGGACUUCGCCCAAGAUGAACCAACCUUUUCCACGGGAUGUCGUCAGAUGUUGGACCUUGCCAAACUGUGCACAUGCCUCAAUGGCUGCUACGUCACUCUGCCCAACAGGACAUGGUCACUGAGAUUUUUUUUAAACGGACUUUAACCUCCCUGUCCCCAAUGACCCACAACCACACAUGACAAAACACUGUACAUGUGAUGCAUCACCACACUAAAAUACAGACACUGCUGCUUUCAGCCUGUUUCAGUCUGUAAAAGAUCGCAAGCCCAACAGCAUUGAUGUUUGAGUUAUUUAAUUGCUAAAUCUUUAAAUCAGUCAAGAUUUCAUGAGCUGGGUCUUCUUCACACAACAGAGAACAAGGUAAAUUGAGUCGACUCGUAACAUGGUAAGGCAUUUCGUCCUUCCCCUUCUUCUCUGUGUGUGAGGAAAUCUGGCCACAGAUCCUGACUGAGUGGCAUACCAUGGCUGUGCAGUUUCCAAAAUCAGACAAGGAUCCAUCUGAUUUUGUGACUCGGCUUGUCAUGAUAUGCAUGUGUCUUAACAAAGGAUUGGAAUGGUCAGGUUUGUAGUGUAAAUCACAUCACUUGUAGAUGGUGAUGGUGUACUGACACUACUACUUUCAGCCUGUAAUGUUAGACAUUGAAAACUUGUAUUUAUUGCCUUCUUUAUAUAAAGUAAAACUUUUGUUCUUAA